rnacentral:rRNA from 1 species
GCUAAGAAUAUUCCGCAAUGGACGAAAGUCUGACGGAGCGACGCCGCGUGGAUGAAGAAGGCCGAAAGGUUGUAAAGUUCUUUUGUUGGGGAAGAAUAACCAUGGGAGGGAAUGCCCGUGGGAUGACAUGAACCGACGAAUAAGCCCCGGCUAACUACGUGCCAGCAGCCGCGGUAACACGUAGGGGGCGAGCGUUGUUCGGAAUUACUGGGCGUAAAGGGCAUGUAGGCGGUCUUGUAAGCUUGGCGUGAAAGACUACGGUCCAACCGUGGGAUUGCGUUGAGAACUGCGAGGCUUGAGUGACGGAGAGGGAGCUAGAAUUCCUGGUGUAGGGGUGGAAUCUGUAGAGAUCAGGAAGAAUACCAAUGGCGAAGGCAAGCUCCUGGCCGAUGACUGACGCUGAGGUGCGAAAGUGUGGGGAUCAAACAGGAUUAGAAACCCCAGUAGUCC